rnacentral:rRNA from 1 species
CACUCCUACGGGAGGCAGCAGUGGGGAAUAUUGCACAAUGGGCGCAAGCCUGAUGCAGCCAUGCCGCGUGUAUGAAGAAGGCCUUCGGGUUGUAAAGUACUUUCAGCGGGGAGGAAGGCAAUACGGUUAAUAACCGUGUUGAUUGACGUUACCCGCAGAAGAAGCACCGGCUAACUCCGUGCCAGCAGCCGCGGUAAUACGGAGGGUGCAAGCGUUAAUCGGAAUUACUGGGCGUAAAGCGCACGCAGGCGGUCUGUCAAGUCGGAUGUGAAAUCCCCGGGCUCAACCUGGGAACUGCAUUCGAAACUGGCAGGCUUGAGUCUUGUAGAGGGGGGUAGAAUUCCAGGUGUAGCGGUGAAAUGCGUAGAGAUCUGGAGGAAUACCGGUGGCGAAGGCGGCCCCCUGGACAAAGACUGACGCUCAGGUGCGAAAGCGUGGGGAGCAAACAGGAUUAGAAACCCCUGUAGUCCCA